GCGAUGGAAAGGAGUGGUCGGCGUAGGUUUGUAACGCGCGGUAACUGGUGUUGCCUGUGGAGAAGGAAGUCCAGAGGAAGCAGAUGAACCGUCUGUUUUAUUUAUUUAUUNCAAUCCUCAAUAUAAUAUGCCACAAACAAACAAAACAGUAAAACUAAAUCUAACAAUCAUAGGAACACAAGAAGUGAUGGCAUCCCGCAAGCAAAAGAAAAAUAACAACAACACAAUCAUUUCCAUAAAAAUUGUUUUAAAUAUUACCCCAAGGUUGUGUUGCGGCGCAAGGAAAAGGGUGAUGCCGGUGGUUAGCGGCGGAUGAUGGUGUUUCGGAGGAAGAUUUGGGUCUUCGGAGGAAAGGGAAAGGGUCGAAGGCGGCGAGUCGAGGGAGACACGACGGAGAUGUAGAGGCGGAAACGAAGGUGGUUGAGAAGGAGGAAAUGGCGGUUUUGUGAUGGGUUUCGCGGUUGCUGUUGUUGGAUAACCGGCGAUGGAAGACGGAUCGUUUUCGGCGGUGAGUUGAGGGUGGUCGCCGCGAUUUAUAUUGUAACGUGUUCGCCGGCAUUGAGGUUGUAUCGUUGACGGAGUUGUGUUUUGAGGAGGAAAGUUUGGCGAUGGAAAGGAGUGGUCGGCGUAGGUUUGUAACGCGCGGUAACUGGUGUUGCCUGUGGAGAAGGAAGUCCAGAGGAAGCAGAUGAACCGUCUGUUUUAUUUAUUUAUUUUUUAUUUUCCUUUUUCUUUUUCUUUAUGUUCAGAGAGAAAGAGAGUUUUUUUUGAGGUAUUGGUGUAUGUGUGAUGUGGAGAGAGUCUGGGAGAAAAGAGAGAAGGAUAACGUGUGUUGGGAUUGGAAGUGUGGAUCCUGUGUGUGAGAGUUAAGUGGGUUUUUA
rnacentral:lncRNA from 1 species